UUUGAAUAAUUUUUUGUAACAAUUAAAUUAUUUUUUCAAAAUAAAUAAUAAUUUAUUAUUUAGUUACUUUCUUGUCUAAUUUAAAAUCUCUCCAACCAAUGUCAAUACAUUACCUACCAACUUUGUACAUAUUCCAUCAUUGGGUCAGUGACUCACUUUCUUGUUUAGGGGUUUGGAUCUGUUCUCCUCUAACCAUAACUGUCAACUUGUUUGGUGAAACUUAUAAGGCAGUUACUUCUUUUUCCCCCUGCUUCUGACAAAACUUUAGAUUUCUAUGUAGGCACCUGAUUUGCUUGAGCUCCUGUUUCAUAAAGGAUCUAAACUUCUGAUUGGGGAACUUCCUUCUAUACUUGAUGGAUCAGCAAUAGUAAAGGCUCAACCUCAAGAUGACUCUAAGGCUACAUUGGCUCCCAAGAUAAAUCCAGAUGAAUCAUGGCUAUCCUUUGAUCAAGAAGCAUCUGUUCUACACAAUAAGGUAAACUUCAUGAUCUUAUCUGAACUGCACUGUUGUGACAUGAAACAAUUUUAGGUUCGUGCCUUUUCUGGGUGGCCAGGAACUAGAGCAAGAGUGUUAGUGGUUGAGAAAAAUGGUCAGCAGAAAACUUGGGAGAUUAAAAUUAUAGCCUCGUGAGUUUGCAGUCAUGAAAGUGUGCAGUUCGAUGAAGCAGAUGACAUUGCAUUUGUUGAGGGUGCGUUGGUGUUUCCAUGUGGAAGGGGCACCACACUUGAGAAAGAAAACAAAGAGCAGGUUUCAGACACAAAGAAGACCAACGUAUAUUAAGAAAACCAACAGAGAACUACUCCCAAAGUUGAUAUUCUAAACUGCUGAAUUUGUUUUUAUUUUUUGGUAGCUCUUGCUUAUUCUUAUAUAGGUUUCAUUCUUUAGUUUCAGCUAAUUUCAAAGUUAUGGCUAGUGACUUCCAGUGCAGAGAUCUUGUUAAACAGUUGUUUUCUCAUUU